rnacentral:rRNA from 1 species
UGGGGAAUAUUGCACAAUGGGCGCAAGCCUGAUGCAGCAACGCCGCGUGAACGAUGAAGGUCUUUGGAUUGUAAAGUUCUGUUGCAGGGGAAGAUAACGACGGUACCCCGUGAGGAAGCCCCGGCUAACUACGUGUUAGCAGCCGCGGUAAUACGUAGGGGGCUUGCGGUAUACGGAUCUACUGGGCGUAAAGGGUGCGUAGGUGGUCUUUCAAGUCGGUGGUUAAAGGCUACGGCACAACCGUAGUUAGCCUCCGAAACUUGAAGACUUGAGUUCAGGAGAGGAAAGUGGAAUUCCCAGUGUAGCGGUGAAAUGCGUAGAUGUUAGUAGGAACACCAGUAGCGAAGGCGGCUUUCUGUGCUGCAACUGACACUUAGGCACGAAAGCGUGGGUAGCAAACGGG